rnacentral:rRNA from 2 species
AAAUUGAUUUUAUGCUUGCAUAAAUGAUUUUUGGAUUCGGAGCGAGUGGCGAACUGGUGAGUAACACGUGGGUAACCUGCCCCGAAGCGGGGGAUAACAUUUGGAAACAAGUGCUAAUACCGCAUAAUUAGUUGGAACCGCAUGGUUCCAACUUGAAAGAUGGCUCUGCUAUCACUUUGGGAUGGACCCGCGCCGUAUUAGUUAGUUGGUGAGAUAAAAGCCCACCAAGACGAUGAUACGUAGCCGACCUGAGAGGGUAAUCGGCCACAUUGGGACUGAGACACGGCCCAGACUCCUACGGGAGGCAGCAGUAGGGAAUCUUCCACAAUGGACGAAAGUCUGAUGGAGCAACGCCGCGUGAGUGAUGAAGGUUUUCGGAUCGUAAAACUCUGUUGUUAAAGAAGAACAAGUGUUAGAGUAACUGUUAACACUUUGACGGUAUUUAACCAGAAAGCCACGGCUAACUACGUGCCAGCAGCCGCGGUAAUACGUAGGUGGCAAGCGUUGUCCGGAUUUAUUGGGCGUAAAGCGAGCGCAGGCGGUUUUGUAAGUCUGCUGUGAAAGCCCUCAGCUCAACUGAGGAAGUGCAGUGGAAACUACAAAACUUGAGUACAGAAGAGGAAAGUGGAACUCCAUGUGUAGCGGUGAAAUGCGUAGAUAUAUGGAAGAACACCAGUGGCGAAGGCGGCUUUCUGGUCUGUUACUGACGCUGAGGCUCGAAAGCAUGGGUAGCGAACAGGAUUAGAUACCCUGGUAGUCCAUGCCGUAAACGAUGAAUACUAGGUGUUGGAGGGUUUCCGCCCUUCAGUGCCGCAGCUAACGCAUUAAGUAUUCCGCCUGGGGAGUACGACCGCAAGGUUGAAACUCAAAGGAAUUGACGGGGGCCCGCACAAGUGGUGGAGCAUGUGGUUUAAUUCGAUGCUACGCGAAGAACCUUACCAGCUCUUGACAUCUUCUGCCAACCCAAGAGAUUGGGCGUUCCCUUCGGGGACAGAAUGACAGGUGGUGCAUGGUUGUCGUCAGCUCGUGUCGUGAGAUGUUGGGUUAAGUCCCGCAACGAGCGCAACCCUUAUUAUUAGUUGCCAGCAUUUAGUUGGGCACUCUAGUGAGACUGCCGGUGAUAAACCGGAGGAAGGUGGGGACGACGUCAAAUCAUCAUGCCCCUUAUGAGCUGGGCUACACACGUGCUACAAUGGAUGGUACAACGAGUCGCGAAACCGCGAGGUCAAGCUAAUCUCUUAAAGCCAUUCUCAGUUCGGAUUGCAGGCUGCAACUCGCCUGCAUGAA